GAACAACAACAACAACAACAACCGUUGAGCCAGGUCUCCUUCCAGCAGCCUCAGCAACAAUAUCCAUCAGGCCAGGGCUCCUUCCAGCCAUCUCAGCAAAACCCACAGGCCCAGGGCUCUUUCCAGCCUCAACAACUGCCCCAGUUUGAGGAAAUAAGGAACCUAGCGCUACAGACGCUACUUGCAAUGUGCGAUGUCUAUAUCCCUCCAUAUUGCACCAUUGCUCCAUUUGGCAUCUUUGGUACUAACUGAGAAGAGAAGAACUCUAGUAGUAGAUAUAUGAUACACCGUUUUCUUAGUCCAUGGUUUGGUCGUUGUAGCGGUGAAAAAAUAAAGUGACAUGCACUAUCAUGUAAGAACCCGAACUAUACUAGUUCAAACUUGGGAAUAAAAGACAAACACAGGUCUUGUCUACAUAUGAUUGUUUGUUUGAGUUCCACUCAUGUGCCCAUUCACAAGUUCACCCCUAAUUAUAUAUAUUAUGCAUUAAGUAGAUAUUUAUGUUGCAUUAAUCUAAAGAUAACAAAAUGAGUCUGAAAUUUGAAUUAAAUUGAAGUAUUUCCUUGGACUUUCAAAUGGAGUAUUAUUAAAGUAGUAAGGACUAUCCUCAUCCUUGGCUUGCCCUUGAUCAAUUAUUUCCAGAGAAGCAUUCAAUUCGUCAAUCAAUUACAUUGAUUUUUGCAGCCGGUACUUCUCCUCAACAUGAGUAUAUUCAUCGCGGCUACUCCAAAUCGGCAUGAAUGAGGUACCGGUGCUCUGGAGCACUAGUACCUAACAGCUUCUCAUGUGAAGGGGUGCGGGCACGGGAGAGGUGUUUUUGGUGGGCCAGGGGAGUAAGAAGCGGCCGUGGCAGCGGUGCAGACACCCACAAAGCCCCGUAGUUUGUUUUUCGUUUACAGGAAAAUGCACAUCCAGACCGGCCUGCGGGCCGAUAUAGGACCGUAUUGGAUGGCAAAACAUGUCCGGAUGGUUGCGAGCGGUUUGAGGGUUAGCUUUUGUAACGCCCGGUUAGUUAUGCUAUUGUAAUUCCCUGCUAAUGAUGUCACGUAACCACGAUUACUAUUGUUAACCUCACAAUGAUUCAAUCCCAUUCAAAUUCAAAUUUAAAAUAAAGGCAAACAUCAAAAUUUCCAAACAUUAAAACUUAAAUCUUCGAGAGGUGGAAAAUAAUGCAUAAGUAAUUAUGGUGGAGAAACCACACUUUUAUAAAAUGUUUAAAUACUGUAAAAGAAUAAACAGUGGCUUAAACUAUUAUUUAAAUCCUUUUAAAAUAGUAAAAAUGUUCUAACUAAAUUAAUUGGGUACCAAACUUUUGGUGGCAGUGGUAUAUUUAGUAGAACUAAUUUAGAUGCUAAUUAUAUAAUUUACAAAAUUAAAGUAAAUUGAAAAAUAGGAUAAAACAUAAAAGGAAAGACAAAAUAAAUAAAAGCAAAAGGGGGCAACCCCUCGCUGGGCCUCGGCCUAACUGGCCACUGGGCUAGCUAGGCCGGCCCAGCCGCCUCCCUUAACCCCCCACUCCCCAUCGAACCCUGGCCCGAUCGCCCCACUUCCCCCACACCCCGUCGUCAGCCUCCCCACCUGUCGAUCCCAUCUGGAUCGGGGAGGGGAUCGCCCCCAUCAACCCCGUCGCCGUCUCCGGAUCGCCCGCUCGCCCAUCGCCCGCCGGAGUCGCCGGGCCUCCUCCCUGCCGCCCGUCUCCGGCUCGCCUCCUCUCUCGCUCCUCUUCCCUGACCCAAUCUGGAUCGGGAAGGGGCAAUGCGCCCGACGCCCCCCUUCACCGACGCCGUGCGCCAACACCGCCGCCCGAAGACCUCGCCGUCACCGGACCUCGCGUCGCCUCCUCGUAUCCCUCCCCGCCUCGCCUCAAGCCAUGACGACCCCCUUCUCGGCAACGCUGUGAGCCGCCCCCGUUUCCCUCCUCCUCUUUCCACCGCGUUCACAGCGUCGCCCGCCGUGCCCCUCGCCGCGCGCUCGCCCACCACCGCGCCAGCCCCGGUCCGCGCCCUCUCCUGCAUGCUUGCGUGCGCAUGACCCUAGCCGCGCCUGCGCCGUGAUCCCCUUAUCCNNNNNNNNNNNNNNNNNNNNNNNNNNNNNNNNNNNNNNNNNNNNNNNNNNNNNNNNNNNNNNNNNNNNNNNNNNNNNNNNNNNNNNNNNNNNNNNNNNNNNNNNNNNNNNNNNNNNNNNNNNNNNNNNNNNNNNNNNNNNNNNNNNNNNNNNNNNNNNNNNNNNNNNNNNNNNNNNNNNNNNNNNNNNNNNNNNNNNNNNNNNNNNNNNNNNNNNNNNNNNNNNNNNNNNNNNNNNNNNNNNNNNNNNNNNNNNNNNNNNNNNNNNNNNNNNNNNNNNNNNNNNNNNNNNNNNNNNNNNNNNNNNNNNNNNNNNNNNNNNNNNNNNNNNNNNNNNNNNNNNNNNNNNNNNNNNNNNNNNNNNNNNNNNNNNNNNNNNNNNNNNNNNNNNNNNNNNNNNNNNNNNNNNNNNNNNNNNNNNNNNNNNNNNNNNNNNNNNNNNNNNNNNNNNNNNNACCAAGACCCACAUCCCCUAAUUAACCAUUUAAUAAAUUUAAACUCUUAAAUUAACAUUAGUGUAUGACAUGUGGGUCCCCUAUUAAUUAAACUAAUUUAAUUAAAAUCUAUUAACUUCAAGUCUAUGACAUAUGGGCCCCACUGAACAUUUGACCAGUCAACGGUCCAGUCAAAUGUUGACCGGAUAGUUGACCAGAGGGCCCCACCAGUCAGCCUCUGUGCUGUUCUCCUGGGUACCUUUCUGAGUACACCUAGCAUUUUGCAUUUACAAUAUUUGUUUUAAAAUAAAUUAGAAUAAUUUCAAAAAAAUGAUUGAAACUUUUAAAAUUAAAAAAAAUUAUCCGUAACUCGGAUGAAAUUACUUUAUACAUGGAAGUUGCUCAAAAAAUGAGACGAAUCCUAAUACACAGUCCGUUCUUCUGCCACACGUCCCUAGCAUAGCGAACAUGCAACCACCCCCCUCCGGUUCGACUGUCCGAAAAUGUCAAACACCGGGAAUACUUUUCCGGAUGUUUCCCCUUCACUAGUAGCACCUAGUACCGCGUGAGGCAUACCUAGCACCACUUAUUGUAAUGUCAUGCAUCGUCAUGCAUCUGUUUGCAUUGUAUUCAUUGUUUCUUGCUCCUCUUCUCUCCGGUAGACUACGAGACUGACGCCGGUGCUGCCCCGGUCGAUUACGGUGUCCAUGACCCCUCCUUGUCAGCAGAGCUUCCAGGCAAGCAAACCCCCUUGAUCAUCCCGAUAUCGCCUACUCUUUCCUCUACUGCUUGCAUUAGAGUAUUGUUACUGUUUGUCGGUUUGAUCCUAUACUGCUGCAUGGCCUGUCUUUGAUACUACUUAUGUGUUAUUUGUUAGUACGCUUGGAGAAAAUGCCUUUGAUUAGGGCAUCUUCAACAGCGACCAGUAAAUUUCCUCCCGCGUUCGUCCACGAAUAGGGGAUCAGUCCGCGGACACGGAUACAGGAAUUGGCCAUCCAACAAUGUCCGCAUAUAUUUAAAACACUUAAAAAAUAGGAUGAAAUUCAUGCAAACACAGUGGAUUUCAUACAAACCGGACAAAAAUGUUUACAUUUUGGACAUUUUUUUUUUACUAAAAACUCUACAGCCGGUGCCGGCGAAUAUCCACUCCGGCAACAUGGAUACCCUUGACUAGUCUACUGCCGGCCGCAGCAGAUCUCCAAUGUCGUCCCCAUGUUCGGCAGCUGUGAGCCCUAGAGGUAUAUGCUUCAGCGCAAAGAGCGGCUCGCCUCCUACCGCUCAUCGGAGUGGAACAACCAGUUGAUGCUUCUGCCGAUGGGGAAGGGUCCCUACGCUACACGAAUUAGAGUUGGUUUUGGGUUGGGGGAACGGCGGUGGCCUGUCAGAGGGCAAGACACCGACUGUGUACGCUGGUGUCACCUGGUGUGGCAUUCAUGGGACCCAAGCGGCAGCGCCUCCUCAAUGAUGGCAGCGAGCGCGGACGUGUUGGACACCACCUCGUCGAUGUCCGUGCAGCCCGCUUCUUUCUCUGUAGGAAGGACGCGGUUACGCUCGCGUUGACAUCGGAUGACUCGGUCACAUGCACGAGAGGGGCGGUACAACAUGGCACCGUCAAUGGCAGCCAUGAUGCCCGCGCCACCGUGGUCCCUCCCAGUGCCGACCUGGAGCAACUUGCCACUCCUCGGCUCGUGACCGGCGGGCUUUACGGGCCACCUAGCCAUUUUUUAUGCCAGCCAACUCUUCUUCCUGCUCGUCAGAUGUCAUGGAGAAAACUGUUCAAGGAGGAAAAUGAUGAGUGGACGUGUGAUGCGCUUCUUGCCCAACAUCUGACAUUGUUUAAAUAGCGAGGGGACACGAGAGGAGCCAACCGGCGUUCUGUUCAAUGCCAACUGGCUCGCGAACGAACAUGUGGCCGGAGUAAUUAUCCUGGCACACACGCGGGUUUAAUGGUGGAAGGCGGGCAGUCUGCAGGAAUGAGGUGAGGAUGCGUGUUUAGCCGGCGUGCAGCGGGCAGCGCCCUCGGCCGGCGUGCUGCUUCCAUUGCGGAGGUAGUGAGAGGUCGCGUCCGCUCUGCAGCGCAUGAAUGCGGGCAGCUGGCGCAGAGCGGGAACGCGUGCAUGGUUUGGGUGGGCACGGGUGGUGAGAAGAGGUCAUGGGUGUUGUCCGAACGCCUGGAAAGCCCCCCCUCCAUGUUUGUCUCCGGUUUACGGGAGAAAGUACGUCCGGACCGUUUGAUGGACCAAUACAGGCCCGCAUUGGAUGGCACAACACGUCCGGACCAUGUGGUCCGGAUGGUUGUGGACGGUUUAAUUGAGGGUCGACGUUGGAGAUGCCUUAGAGUUUAUGAAUCCAUUGUGUUUUUUAAUCAUAAAAAGCACUUAUAACAAGUUAUAAGGAAAGACACGUUUAUAUGUUAGGUUCGGACUCCAGCUUUCCUCUUACAUAUGCUUUAUUGUGAUCCGACUGAUUCCAAUAGAGUGAGCCUAGCGUUGUUUUUCUGGAAACUUGCGGGAUAAGGAGACAUGCAUACACAUUCAUUCAAGCAAAUCACAUCCAUUCUUUUUAACUCAUUUUUCUUCUUUUAAUAAUAUAAUAGAUCAUUUAUAUUUUUAUCUCAAACAGUUGACGUGUAAUUUAUACUGUAAUCUGAGGAUAAUGUUUGGAUUUACUUUCAAAUAUAUUUGAAAUGGCCAUGAUGGAAUCACAUCCAUUUAUUUUAUUAUUAUUUGAAUUUGAUCCAAAAGAUAAAUAAUGAGUAGAGGUCAUGUCAACUUUUCUGAGAACUUUGCUAAUCAAAAUAUAAUUUGUAUUUAAAAACAUCUUUUUAGCACGCAUGAAAAACAUAACGCCUAUCUUUUCACACAUGAUGAACGGUUGUCAUAAGAACUCAUGGCAUGCCACAAGCUCCCUCCGACCCUGCCAACAUUGUUACAGCUGCACUCGCAAGCUUUAUCGUAGAUGAUCAUUUAUACGAUUUGCGUAAAUCAAAAUAAGAUCUACAAACGAAUAGAAGCUAGAACGUACCUUGGCAUGCACACACAUUGCAAGCCAUACUAAGCUGAUAAGUGUUAAUAACUUCUACAACAUAUACAACACUUAAGACAAGUAAAAGCAAUUUGAUGAGUCAUGGUCUAUCAAAGGCACAUUACUAGUCUAAUCCAUCUUAACAGGUCACACAUGAUUAAAACCUUGUUUGUGUGCAAGUCAAGCUUAUCUAGUUUACAUGUAACAACUUGUAGAACAUUACAAAAUUUAUGUUUGCUAAUAACCUCUAGAACACUACAACACUUGACAUGUAAAAGGAAUUUGAUGAGUCAUGGCCUACUAAAGCAAGUUAUAUUACUAGUCUUAUCUACCUUAACAGGCCACACAAGAUUACAAACUAAGUUCUGUGCUAGCCAUGCUUAUCUAGUUUAUGCGUAACAAUUUGCAGAAAAUUACAAACUUAGUUUCAGAAAAAUAGGCAAUCUAGAUUAGUGUUUGAGCUGUAAAGUGAAUAAGAUGAGUCAUGUGUGUUAUCACACCUUUUUGGUUGUGGAAUAAUAGUGCAACAACAAGGAACUUUAAUGACCAGUCCAAGAAUACACUUGUAAGUAGUGCCACCGAACACAACAUGCCAAAUUUUGAUUUUGAGAAGCAUCCAAACACUUCCACACAAGCAAAUGCCAAUUGUGAAAGAGAUCAUGCCAUGGCAGCUAUAAAUAGGCCCGUAGCAUGACGAUCAUCCUUCCUCAUCCAUCAUUCUCAUAAGUAGAGCGCAUCAUUUAAGCCAAGCAAGCAGUGCUCAAUACAAAUCCACCAUGAAGACCUUUCUCAUCCUUGCCCUCCUUGCUAUUGUGGCGACCACCGCCACAACUGCAGUUAGAGUUCCAGUGCCACAAUUGCAGCUACAAAAUCCAUCUCAGCAACAGCCACAAGAGCAAGUUCCAUUGGUACAAGAACAACAAUUUCCAGGGCAGCAACAACCAUUUCCACCACAACAGCCAUAUCCGCAGCCGCAACCAUUUCCAUCACAACAACCAUAUCUGCAGCUGCAACCAUUUCCACAGCCGCAACUACCAUAUCCGCAGCCGCAACCAUUUCGACCACAACAACCAUAUCCACAGCCGCAACCACAGUAUUCGCAACCACAACAACCAAUUUCGCAGCAGCAGCAGCAGCAGCAGCAACAACAACAACAACAACAACAAAUCCUACAACAAAUUUUGCAACAACAACUGAUUCCAUGCAGGGAUGUUGUAUUGCAACAACACAACAUAGCGCAUGGAAGCUCACAAGUUUUGCAAGAAAGUACUUACCAGCUGGUGCAACAAUUGUGUUGUCAGCAGCUGUGGCAGAUCCCCGAGCAGUCGCGGUGCCAAGCCAUCCACAAUGUUGUUCAUGCUAUUAUUCUGCAUCAACAACACCACCACCACCAACAACAACAACAACAACAACAACAACAACCGUUGAGCCAAGUCUCCUUCCAACAGCCUCAGCAACAAUAUCCAUCAGGCCAGGGCUUCUUCCAACCAUCUCAGCAAAACCCACAGGCCCAGGGCUCUUUCCAGCCUCAACAACUGCCCCAGUUUGAGGCAAUAAGGAACCUAGCGCUACAGACGCUACCUGCAAUGUGCAAUGUGUAUAUCCCUCCAUAUUGCACCAUUGCUCCAUUUGGCAUCUUCGGUACUAACUGAGAAGAGAAGAACUCUAGUAGUAGAUAUAUGAUACACCGUUUUCUUAGUCCAUGGUUUGGUCGUUGUAGCGGUGAAAAAAUAAAGUGACAUGCACUAUCAUGUAAGAACCUGAACUAUACUAGUUCAAACUUGGGAAUAAAAGACAAACACAGGUCUUGUCUACAUAUGAUUGUUUGUUUGAGUUCCACUCAUGUGCCCAUUCACAAGUUCACCCCUAAUUAUAUAUAUUAUGCAUUAAGUAGAUAUUUAUGUUGCAUUAAUCUAAAGAUAACAAAAUGAGUCUGAAAUUUGAAUUAAAUUGAAGUAUUUCCUUGGACUUUCAAAUGGAGUAUUAUUAAAGUAGUAAGGACUAUCCACAUCCUUGGCUUGCCCUUGAUCAAUUAUUUGCUGAGAAGCAUUCAAUUCGUCAAUCAAUUACAUUGAUUUUUGUGGCUGGUACUUCUCCUCAACAUGAGUAUAUUCAUCGUGGCUACUCCAAAUCGGCAUGAAUGAGGUACCGGUGCUCUGGAGCACUAGUACCUAACAGCUUCUCAUGUGAAGGGGUGCGGGCACGGGAGAGGUGUUUUUGGUGGGUCAAGGGAGUAAGAAGCGGCCGUGGCAGCGGUCCAGACGCCCACAAAGCCUCGUAGUUUGUUUUUGGUUUACAGGAAAAUGCACAUCCAGACUGGCCUGCGGGCCGAUAUAGGACCGUAUUGGAUGGCAAAACAUGUCCAGAUGGUUGUGAGCGGUUUGAGGGUUAGCUUUUGUAACGCCCGGUUAGUUAUGCUAUGGUAGUUCCCUGCUAAUGAUGUCACGUCACCACGAUUACUGUUGUUAACCUCACAAUGAUUCAAUCCCAUUCAAAUCCAAAUUUAAAAUAAAGGCAAACAUCAAAAGUUUCAAACAUUAAAACUAAAAUCUUCGAGAGGUGAAAAAUAAUGCAUAAGUAAUUAUGGUGGAGAAACCACACUUUUAUAAAAUGUUUAAAUACUCUAAAAGGAAUAAAACAGUGGCUUAAACUAUUAUUUAAAUGCUUUUAAAAUAGUAAAAAUGUUCUAACUAAAUUAAUUGGGUACCAAACUUUUGGUGGCAGUGGUAUAUUUAGUAGAAAAAAUUUAGAUGCUAAUUAUAUAAUUUACAAAAUUAAAGUAAAUUAAAAAAUAGGAUAAAACAUAAAAGGAAAGACAAAACAAAUAAAAGCAAAAGGGGGCAACCCCUCACUGAGCCUCGGCCUAGCUGGCCACUAGGCUAGCUAGGCCGGCCCAGCCGCCUCCCUUAACCCCCCACUCCCCAUCGAACAAUAGCCCGAUCGCCCCACUUCCCCCACACCCCCUCGUCAGCCUCCCCACCUCUCGAUCCCAUCUGGAUCGGGGAGGGGAUCGCCCCCAUCGACCCCGUCGCCAUCGCCGGAUCACCCGCUCGCCCAUCGCCCGCCGGCGUCGCCGGGCCUCCUCCCCGCCGCCCGUCUCCGGCUCUCCUCCCCUCUCGCUCCUCUUCCCCGACCCGAUAUGGAUCGAGAAGGGGCAAUGAGCCCGACGCCCCCCUCCACCGACGUUGUGCGCCAGCACCGCCACCCGAAGACCUCGUCGUCGCCGGACCUCGCGUCGCCUCCUCGUAUCUCUCCCCGACUCGCCUCCUCAAGCCACGCCGACCCCCUUCUCGGCAACGCUGUGAGCCGCCCCCGUUUCCCUCCUUCUCUUUCCACCGUGUUUGAUAAGUCUCCAACGUAUCUAUAAUUUUUGAUUGUUCCAUGCUAUAUUAUAUUCUGUUUUGGAUGAUUAAUGGGAUUUAUUAUACACUUUUAUAUUAUUUUUGGGACUAACCUAUUAACCGGAGGCCCAGCCCAAAUUGCUGUUUUUUUGCCUAUUUCAGUGUUUCGCAGAAAAAGAAUAUCAAACGGAGUCCAAACGGAAUGAAACCUUCGGGAAUGUGAUUUUCGGAACAAACGUGAUCCAGAGGACUUGGAGUGGACGUCAAGCAACAGACGAGGAAGCCACGAGGUAGGGGCGCGCCUACCCUCCUGGGCGCGCCCUCCACCCUCAUGGGCCCCUCGUGGCUCCACUGACCUACUUCUUCCUCCUAUAUAUACCUACGUACCCCCAAACCAUCAGAAGCGACCACAAAAACCUAAUUCCACCGCCGCAACCUUCUGUACCCGUGAGAUCCCAUCUUAGGGCCUUUUCCGGCGUCCUGCCGGAGGGGGCAUUGAUCACGGAGGGCUUCUACAUCAACACCAUAGCCUCUCCGAUGAUGUGUGAGUAGUUUACCUCAGACCUUCGGGUCCAUAGUUAUUAGCUAGAUGGCUUCUUCUCUCUCUUUGGAUCUCAAUACAAAGUUCUCCUCGUUUCUCUUGGAGAUCUAUUUGAUGUAACUCUUCUUUUUGCGGUGUGUUUGUCGAGAUCCGAUGAAUUGUGGGUUUAUGAUCAAGAUUAUCUAUGAACAAUAUUUGAAUCUCCUCUGAAUUCUUUUAUGUAUGAUUGGUUAUCUUUGCAAGUCUCUUCGAAUUAUCAGUUUGGUUUGGCCUACUAGAUUGAUCUUUCUUGCAAUGGGAGAAGUGCUUAGCUUUGGGUUCAAUCCUGCGGUGUCCUUUCCCAGUGACAGCAGGGGCAGCAAGGCACGUAUUGUAUUGUUGCCAUCGAGGAUAAAAAGAUGGGGUUUAUAUCAUGUUGCAUGAGUUUAUCCCUCUACAUCAUGUCAUCUUGCUUAAAGCGUUACUCUGUUUUUAUGAACUUAAUACUCUAGAUGCAUGCUGGAUAGCGGUCGAUGUGUGGAGUAAUAGUAGUAGAUGCAGAAUCGUUUUGGUCUACUUGUCACGGACGUGAUGCCUAUAUACAUGAUCAUACCUAGAUAUUCUCAUAACUAUGCUCAAUUCUAUCAAUUGCUCGACAGUAAUUCGUUUACCCACCAUAAUACUUAUGCUCUUGAGAGAAGCCACUAGUGAAACCUAUGGCCCCCGGGUCUAUUUUCCAUCAUAUUAAUCUUCCGUCAACAAGCUAUUUCUAUCUUUAUUUACCUUGUAAUCUUUACUUUUACUCUUUAUCAUAAAAAUACCAAAAAUAUUAUCUUAUCAUCUCUAUCAGAUCUCACUCUCGUAAGUGACCGUGAAGGGAUUGACAACCCCUUUAUCGCGUUGGUUGCGAGGUUCUUAUUUGUUUGUGUAGGUGCGUGGGACUUGAGUGUGGCCUCCUACUGGAUUGAUACCUUGGUUCUCAAAAACUGAGGAAAAUACUUACGCUACUUUACUGCAUCACCCUUUCCUCUUCAAGGGAAAACCAACGCAGUGCUCAAGAGGUAGCAAGAAGGAUUUCUAGCACCGUUGCCGGGGAGUCUACGCACAAGUCAAGACAUACCAAGUACCCGUCACAAACUCUUAUCCCUCGCAUUACAUUAUUUGCCAUUUGCCUCUCGUUUUCCUCUCCCCCACUUCACCCUUGCCGUUUUAUUCGCCUCCUUUUCGUUUGCUUCUUGUUUGCUCGUGUGUUGGAUUGCUUGUUUGUCGCGAUGGCUCUACCUAGAUUUGGUGAUCUUCCAUUAAAAGGUUAGAAGAGAUUGAAAGCAACGUCAGAAGUUUCAUGACUUUACAAUUUGAGCAUAACAAUUUCUUUAGAAACGAGCUUAAGGAACAAAAAAGCUUUAUGGGUUACAUGAAUAAAGAGCUCGACGAUAUGUCUAAGGAAUUUUAUGGUCUAAAAUCUUAGAUUUCUCAUCUCGAAAAAUUAAUUGCUGAAAUUUCGGAUAAGCAGGCCACCUUAGUUAAUAAGAUGGCCGCUAAACCGGUAAUUUUUUAUGAGAAUAAAGAUGAAGAUCUAAAAGUUAUUGAUGUGUCCCCUAUUAAAUCUUAGUUUUGCAAUAUGAAUCUUGAUAAUGAUGGGACUGGAGAUGAGUCAACUUUAGUUAAAAGGCGUCCCAAAAAUUCGGAGUUUUUAGAUCUUGAUGCAAAAUUUGGUAAAAGUGGGAUUGAAGAGGUCAAAACUUUAGAUAUCAAUGAACCCACUAUCUUGGAUUUCAAGGAAUUUAAUUAUGAUAAUUGCUCUUUGAUAUAUUUUAUUUCCUUGUUGCAAUCCGUGUUAAAUUCUCCUCAUGCUUAUAGUCAAAAUAAAGCUUUUACUAAACAUAUCGUUGUUGCUUUGAUGCAAUCUUAUGAAGAAAAACUUGAGUUGGAAGUUUCUAUCCCUAGAAAACUUUAUGAUGAAUGGGAACCUACAAUUAAAAUUAAAAUUAAAGAUCAUGAAUGCUAUGCUUUGUGUGAUUUGGGUGCUAGUGUUUCCACGAUCCCAAAAACUUUGUGUGAUUUGCUAGGUUUCCGUGAAUUUGAUGAUUGUUCUCUAAAUUUGCAUCUUGCGGAUUCCACCAUCAAGAAACCUAUGGGAAGAAUUAAUGAUGUUAUUAUUGUUUCAAAUAGGAACUAUGUGCCCGUAGAUUUUAUUGUUCUUGAUAUAGAUUACAAUCCUUCAUGUCCUAUUAUUUUUGGUAGACCUUUCCUUAGAACGAUUGGUGCAAUUAUUGAUAUGAAAGAAGGAAAUAUUAGAUUCCAAUUUCCGUUAAGGAAAGGUAUGGAACACUUUCCUAGAAAGAAAAUAAAAUUACCUUAUGAAUCUAUUAUGAGAGCUACUUAUGGAUUGCCUACCAAAGAUGGCAAUACCUAGAUCUAUCCUCGCUUUUAUGCCUAGCUAGGGGCGUUAAAUGGUAGCGCUUGUUGGGAGGCAACCCAAAUUUUAUUUUAGUUUUUUUGCUUUUUUGCUUCUGUUUAGGAAUAAAUCUUUGAUCUAGACUCUGGUUAGACUUGUUUUUAUGUUUUAAUUAGUGUUUGUGCCAAGUUAAACCUAUAGGAUCUUCUUGGAUGAUAGUUAUUUGAUCUUGCUGAAAAUUCCAGAAACUUUCUGUUCACGAAAACAAUUGUUAAAAAUCACCAGAACGUGAUAAAAUACUGAUUCUAAUUGCAGUAGAUCAAUAAACAAAUUAUCUAGGUCUUCCUAUUUUGGUAGAUUUUUCUGAGUUACAUAAGUUUGUGUUAGUUACAGAUUACUACAGACUGUUCUGUUUUUGACAGAUUCUGUUCUUCGUGUGUUGUUUGCUUAUUUUGAUGAAUCUAUGGCUAGUAAAAUAGUUUAUAAACCAUAGAUAAGUUGGAAUACAUUAGGUUUAACACCAAUAUAAAUAAAGAAUGAGUUCAAUACAGUACCUUGAAGUGGUGUUUUGUUUUCUUUCGCUAACGGAGCUCACGAGAUUUUCUGUUAAGUUUUGUGUUGUGAAGUUUUCAAGUUUUGGGUAAAGAUUUGAUGGAUUAUGGAACAAGGAGUGGCAAGAGCCUAAGCUUGGGGACGCCCAAGGCACCCCAAGGUAAAUCUAAGGACACCAAAAAUCCAAAGCUUGGGGAUGCCCCGGAAGGUAUCCACUCUUUCGUCUUCGUCCAUCGGUAACUUUACUUGGAGCUAUAUUUUUAUUCACCACAUGAUAAGUGUUUUGCUUGGAGCGUCUUGUAUGAUUUGAGUAUUUGCUUUUUAGUUUACCACAUUCAUACUUGCUGUACACACCUUUUGAGAGAGACACACAUGAUUCAGAAUUUAUUAGAAUACUCUAUGUGCUUCACUUAUAUCUUUUGAGCUAUAUAGUUUUUGCUCUAGUGCUUCACUUAUAUCUUUUAGAGCACGGUGGUGGUUUUGUUUUAUAGAAACUAUUUUUCUCUCAUGCUUCACUUAUAUCAUUUUGAGAGUCCUACAUAACAGCAUGGUAAUUUGCUUAAAUUGAGAAAUUAGUCCUAAUAUGAUAGGCAUCCAAGAUUAGUAAAAACUUUCUUAUAAGUGCGUUGAAUACUAAGAAAAGUUUGAUGCUUGAUGAUUGUUUUGAGAUAUGGAGGUAGUGAUAUUAAAGUUGUGCUAGUUGAGUAGUUUUGAAUUUGAGAAAUACUUGCGUUGAAGUUUGCAAGUCCCGUAGCAUGCACGUAUGGUAAACGUUGUGUAACAAAUUUGAAACAUGAGGUGUUCUUUGAUUGUCCUCCUUAUGAGUGGCGGUCGGGGACGAGUGAUGGUCUUUUCCUACCAAUCUAUCCCCCUAGGAGCAUGCGCGUAGUGCUUGGUUUUUGAUGACUUGUAGAUUUUUGCAAUAAGUAUGUGAGUUCUUUAUGACUAAUGUUGAGUCCAUGGAUUAUACGCACUCUCACCCUUCCAUCAUUGCUAGCAUCUUCGGUACCGUGCAUUGCCCUUUCUCACCUUGAGAGUUGGUGCAAAUUUCGCCGGUGCAUCCAGACCCCGUGAUACGAUACGCUCUGUCACACAUAAACCUCCUUAUAUCUUCCUCAAAACAGCCACCAUACCUACCUGUUAUGGCAUUUCCAUAGCCAUUCCGAGAUAUAUUGUCAUGCAACUUUCCACCGUUCCGUUUAUCAUGACACGUUUCAACAUUGUCAUAUUGCCUUGCAUGAUCAUGUAGUUGACAUCGUAUUUGUGGCAAAGCCACCGUUCAUAAUUUUUCAUACAUGUCACUCUUGAUUCAUUGCCCAUCCCGGUACACCGCCGGAGGCAUUCAUAUAGAGUCAUACUUUGUUCUAGUAUCGAGUUGUAAUCAUUGAGUUAUAAAUAAAUAGAAGUGUGAUGAUCAUCAUUCAUAGAGCAUUGUCCCAAAAAAAGGAGAAAGGCCAAAUGAAAAAAAGGCCCAAAAAAAGGGGCAAUGUUACUAUCCUUUUUCCAUACUUGUGCUUCAAAGUAGCACCAUGGUCUUUAUGAUAGAGAGUCUCUUGUUUUGUCACUUUCAUAUACUAGUGGGAAUUUUUCAUUAUAGAACUUGGCUUGUAUAUUCCCACAAUGGGCUUCCUCAAAUGCCCUAGGUCUUCGUGAGCAAGCAAGUUGGAUGCACACCCACUUAGUUUCUUUUGUUGAGCUUUCAUGCAUUUAUAGCUCUAGUGCAUCCGUUGCAUGGCAAUCCCUACUCCUUGCAUUGACAUCAAUCGAUGGGCAUCUCCCUAGCUCGUUGAUUAGCCGCGUCAAUGUGAGACUUUCUUUUCUUUUUUUCUUCUCCACAUAACCCCCAUCAUCAUAUUAUAUUCCACCCAUAGUGUUAUAUCCAUGGCUCACGCUCAUAUAUUGCGUGAAAGUUGAAUUUUUUUUGAGAUUACUAAAGUAUGAAACAAUUGCUUGGCUUGUAAUCGGGGUUGUGCAUGAUGAGAGCAUUCUUGUGUGACGAAAAUGGGGCAUGACCAAACUAUAUGAUUUUGUAGGGAUGAACUUUCUUUGGCCAUGUUAUUUUGAGAAGACAUAAUUGCUUAGUUAGUAUGCUUGAAGUAUUAUUACUUUUAUGUCAAUAUUAAACUUUUAUCUUGAAUCUUUCGGAUCUGAAUAUUCAUACCACAAAUAAGAGAAUUACAUUGAAAAUUAUGCUAAGUAGCAUUCCACAUCAAAAAUUCUGUUUUUAUCAUUUACCUACUCGAGGACGAGCAGGAAUUAAGCUUGGGGAUGCUUGAUACGUCUCCAACGUAUCUAUAAUUUUUGAUUGUUCCAUGCUAUAUUAUAUUCUGUUUUGGAUGAUUAAUGGGCUUUAUUAUACACUUUUAUUAUUUUUGGGACUAACCUAUUAACCGGAGGCCCAGCCCAAAUUGUUGUAUUUUUUGCCUAUUUUAGUGUUUCGCAGAAAAAGAAAAUCAAACGGAGUCCAAACGGAAUGAAACCUUCGGGAACGUGAUUUUCGGAACAAAUGUGAUCCAGAGGACUUGGAGUGGACGUCAAGGAACAGACGAGGAAGCCAUGAGGUAGGGGGGCGCGCCUACCCCCUGGGCGCGCCCUCCACCCUCGUGGCUCCACCGACCUACUUCUUCCUCCUAUAUAUACCUACGUACCCCCAAACCAUCAGAAGCGACCAUGAAAACCUAAUUCCACCACCGCAACCUUCUAUACCCCUGAGAUCCCAUCUUGGGGCCUUUUCCGGCGUCCUGCCGGAGGGGGCAUUGAUCACGGAGGGCUUCUACAUCAACACCAUAGCCUCUCCGAUGAUGUGUGAGUAGUUUACCUCAGACCUUCGGGUCCAUAGUUAUUAGCUAGAUGGCUUCUUCUCUCUCUUUGGGUCUCAAUACAAAGUUCUCCUCGUUUCUCUUGGAGAUCUAUUUGAUGUAACUCUUCUUUUUGCGGUGUGUUUGUCGAGAUCCGAUGAAUUGUGGGUUUAUGAUCAAGAUUAUCUAUGAACAAUAUGUGAAUCUCCUAUGAAUUCUUUUAUGUAUGAUUGGUUAUCUUUGCAAGUCUCUUCGAAUUAUCAGUUUGGUUUGGCCUACUAGAUUGAUAUUUCUUGCAAUGGGAAAAGUGCUUAGCUUUGGGUUCAAUCUUGCGGUGUCCUUUCCCAGUGACAGCAGGGGCAGCACGGCACAUAUUGUAUUGUUGCCAUCGAGGGUAAAAAGAUGGGGUUUAUAUCAUAUUGCAUUAGUUUAUCCCUCUACAUCAUGUCAUCUUGCUUAAAGCGUUACUCUGUUCUUACGAACUUAAUGCUCUAGAUGCAUGCUGGAUAGCGGUCGAUGUGUGGAGUAAUAGUAGUAGAUGCAGAAUCGUUUCGGUCUACUUGUCACGGACGUGAUGCCUAUAUACAUGAUCAUACCUAGAUAUUCUCAUAACUAUACUCAAUUCUAUCAAUUGCUCGACAGUAAUUCGUUUACCCACCGUAAUACUUAUGCUCUUGAGAGAAGCCACUAUUGAAACCUAUGGCCCCCGGGUCUAUUUUCCAUCAUAUUAAUCUUCCGUCAACAAGCUAUUUCUAUCUUUAUUUACCUUGCAAUCUUUACUUUUACUCUUUAUCAUAAAAAUACCAAAAAAAAUUAUCUUAUCAUCUCUAUCAGAUCUCACUCUCGUAAGUGACCGUGAAGGGAUUGACAACCCCUUUAUCGCGUUGGUUGCGAGGUUCUUAUAUAUUUGUGUAGGUGCGUGGGACUUGAGUGUGGCCUCCUACUGGAUUGAUACCUUGGUUCUCAAAAACUGAGGGAAAUAAUUACACUACUUUACUGCAUCACCCUUUCCUCUUUAAGGGAAAACCAACGCAGUGCUCAAGAGGUAGCAGUGUUCACCGCGCCGCCCGCCGUGCCCCUCGCCGCGCGCACGCCCACCACCGCGCCAGCCCCCGCUCAGCGCCCUCUCCUGCACGCUUGUGCGCGCAUGACCCUAGCCACGCCCGCGCCGUGAUCCCCUUGUUCGGCCCGCCUUCGUCCCGCGCUCGCCGCGGCCCCCAUGCUCCCCCGUGCCAUCUUCUAGGGGCGUCGGCUGCCCCUGUCCCGCUGCUCGCUGCCACGCCUCGCCCGCCCGCGCCUCGCCACCGCUCUACUGCUACGCUAAUAUUGCGCUGUGGCCGCCGCCGCUUCCCGCUGCUCUGCCAGCGCCGAAGCUCCCGGUUGGCUCCGCCGCUGCUCACGUUUUACCGCCCCUAAACGGCCUACCCCCCCCCUCGCUAAUGAACCCCCACUGACCCGCUGACACCGGGACCCACAUCCCCUAAUUAACCAUUUAAUAAAUUAAAAAUCUUAAAUUAACAUUAGUGUAUGACAUGUGGGUCCCCUAUUAAUUAAACUGAUUUAAUUAAAAUCUAUUAACAUUGAGUCUGUGACAUAUGGGCCCCACUAAACAUUUGACCAGUCAACGGUCUAGUCAAAUGCUGACCGGACAGUUGACCAGAGGGCCCCACCAGUCAGCCUCUGUGCUGUUCUGCUGGGUACCUUUCUAAGUACACCUAGCAUUUUGCAUUUACAAUAUUUGUUUUAAAAUAAAUUAGAAUAAUUUCAAAAAAAGAUUAAAACUUUUAAAAUUAAAAUAAAAUAAUCCGUAACUCGGAUGAAAUUACUUUAUACAUGCAAGUUGCUCAAAAAACGAGACGAAUCCGAAUACACAGUCCGUUCGUCUGCCACACGUCCCUAGCAUAGCAAACAUGCAACCAUCCCCCUCCGGUUCGACUGUCCGAAAAUGUCAGACACGGGAAAUACUUUUCCGGAUUUUCCCCUUCACCAUUAGCACCUAGUACCGCGUGAGGGCAUACCUAGCACCACUUAUUGUAAUGUCAUGCAUCGUCAUGCAUCUGUUUGCAUUGUAUUCAUUGUUUCUUCCUCCUCUUCUCUCCGGUAGACUACGAGACCGACGUCGGUGCUGCCCCGGUCGACUACGGUGUCCAUGACCCCUCCUUGUAAGCAGAGCUUCCAGGCAAGCAAACCCCCUUGAUCAUCCCGAUAUCGCCUACUCUUUCCCUCUACUGCUUGCAUUAGAGUAUUGUUACUGUUUGUCGGUUUGAUCCUAUACUGCUGCAUGGCUUGUCUUUGAUACUACUUAUGUGUUAUUUGUGUAGAUUUGUCAAGGAAAAAUGAGUCUAUAGCCUAAUAAAUGAAGUGUUGCAUGUUACCACACAUAUGUUAAUCCCCACUAUAGAGUUAGUAACAUAGACUAGUAACAUGUGCAUGUUACUACCCAUUGUGGCCAGUCUAUGUUACCACUUUCCUCUCUUUCUUCAUUUAUUGCUUGCCACAUCAUCUAUUUUAUCUAGGUAUGUGUGAUAUUACUACCUAUGUUACUCCCACUGUGGGUAGUCUAAGCAGGCUAUAAGGAAUAGAAUAAUAUAUAUGUGCUUAUUAGUUGGAGGAAAGAGAAGAGAAGCGGGCUCUUGGUUAGUAGAGCCAGCUACAACAUGAGACCCAAGCACUUUGUGAGGAUGUAAGGUGGCCAACUAUUGAUAAACUAGUACGUAUAUAAAAAUUAUUAUUGCACAUGGCCGCUAAGAGGUUGGCUGUAUAUGACAUGACAACUUCUUAUAGCCGACCCUUGGCUGUAUUAUUAACCAUGCUCUUAGUGAGGUAGCUAGUAUAUCAUAGACGACUAGCUAGUAUCAGACUAGCCAAAGUGGGAGUAACUUCAGCAGUAACAUCGACUCCAACUCAGAAAACUUGCUUAUGUGGGAGUAAACCGUGCCCAAUGCAAAAUACAAUCCCAGUCAUAAUUUUUUCAGGAAACGUGUGGUAUCCCAAACGAAAAGUACAUGUCACUCUUGCGGCAACGAUACCCAAUAAAUCACAAACGGUCUGCAGCACUUGUAUGUGUGCGAAGAGGCUCCUGAACCGUUUGUGAUAGAACAUUAUCGUAGACGAUAAUUGUUGGCAAACGUGUGCGAUGGAGUCUAGCAUGGCAGACAGGUUACGCAGAAAACUCGUGUGCGAUGGGGCACAAAUCGCACACAGUUCAUAUGUUGGCCCGUGUGCCUUACAUACUAUUUCCCAAACGGUUUGUUACGACAGACCGUAUGGUUUCAGUGCGUCAUUAGAAACGCUUAAUCACCGAUACCACACGUGCGAAAGAAUUUAGUGUGUGCUUCAUCGCACACGAUUACAUUUUGGAAGGCCUCUGGAUCACUGCUCCAUAUCCCCGACGGUUUCUGGGUCGUGUGGGAAGUACACCCUAUCGCACACACUCACUUGGCGACGGUUCCAAAUGCCAUCGCGGAAAGGGGUUGAAAACAGUUUGUUUAGAACCGACGCGUACCAUUGUCUAUCUAUCUAUCUACCUAUCUAUCUAUCUAUCUAUCCAUCCAUCUAUCUAUCUAUCCAUCUAUCUAUCCACCUAUCCAUCUAUCCAUCUAUCUAUCUCUAUCCAUCUAUCUAUCUAUCCAUCUAUCCAUCUAUCUAUCCAUCUAUUUAUCUAUCUAUCUAUCUAUCUAUCUAUCUAUGUAUCCAUCGAUCCAUCUAUCCAUCCAUCGAUCCAUCUAUCCAUCCAUCUAUCUAUCCAUGCAUCCAUGUAUCCAUCUAUCGAUCUAUCCAUCUAUCCAUAUAUCGAUCUAUCCAUCUAUCUAUCCAUCUAUCCAUCUAUCCAUCUAUCGAUCUUUCCAUCUAUCGAUCUAUCCAUCUCUUCAUCUACCCAUCUAUCCAUCUAUCCAUCUACCGAUCUAUCUAUCCAUCUAUCUACCUACCUAUCUAUCUAGCUAUCUAGCUAUCUAUCUAUCUAUCCAUCCAUCUGUCCAUCCAUCCAUCUAUCUACCUACCUACCUACCUACCUACCUACCUAUCUAUCUAUAUAUCUAUCUAUCUAUCUAUCUAUCUAUCUAUCUAAAGGAAAUAUGCCCUAGAUGCAAUAAUAAAGUUGUUAUUUAUAUUACUUAAACUAGCAGAGUCACCCGCGCAUUUGCGCGGCUAGAUUGACUACAUAUAUUGUUAUAUUUGGGAUUAUUUUUCUAUGCCAACUUUAUGGCCUCUUACUCAGAUAUUAUCUAAUUUAAUUUACCACCACCAUAUGUUAUAUCCAUAGAUUAUAAUUAAAAGGCAACUUGCGACGAAACAUGGUCAGAUUAUUGAGUGCUCAGAAGACGGGCGCAAUAUCAUAUAUAGACUUCUAUACCAAUCUUCAUGGUUCCCAUCUUUGAUCCUCUCCUCGUCCCUUGGUAUCUAUCUUUGCACCCAAUAUGUCUUUGGAGUUCCAAGAAUUGGAUCUUAGCAUGAAUGGCUUCAAAGUGUACCAAAUGUUCUCUUGUUCCUCCCAAAUUAAUUACUGGUUGCAUUCUUAGUUGCUUUGACAUUCUUGGUUAAUGCAAUGUCUUGCCUACCAAUAUAUGCAUCCACACACGAUCAUAUUUAUAUGACCACUUACCUCUGUAUUCUGGUAUUUGUGCUUCAGAAUUUUUCUCUCAUUCAGUUUAUUCAUAGAUUAGAAACGUCGAUCGUUUCUUUAUUGGUUUGCAUUAUCUUGUUUGCCGAAUGUAAGCAUCCACACAUGCUCGUCAUGAUAUGAUUGGUCAUCAUUGUAUAUUUGUAUUUGUGUGUUGAUAGCUUAAGGAUUUUCUCGGAUUCACUUCAUAGUUUAAGGAUUUUCUCGCGUUCAAUUUAUUCUACCUUAUUCAUUUUCAUGUUUCUUUAUUGUAUUCAUAUCCAUUCUUACAAUAUAUUUUCCAAGAUAUGAACUCAACUACUAAUUACGUAGUUUUCAAUGAAAUUUUACAUGUAAAAGUGGUACAAAUGCAUAAACCCAAUUUUUUUUUAAACACGUUGACUUACAAAAAGGACAAUUCAAGCUGCAUGUACGUCCGACUCAUGUUUACCUGACAAUGUCGAUGUUGAUUUCAGCAGUAAAUGAGCUGUGUGUGACCUUUGCGCUUUCCGGUAUUCUUCUAACCUGUGUGCUUUAUGAUCAGUUUGUUGUGCUUAGUACUGGACACUGGAGUAUACUAUCAUAUUUGAUACAAACAAAUCCGAACUGCUAUAGUUAUGAUCCACUGUAUAGUUAAUGGUGGUGGUAAUUAAUAUAUGUGGUUAAAUACUUGCGCUCCUUAGGUGGGGAGUUGGAUUUGUAUUUGUCUAAAAUGAAUUUCAGAUUUCGUAUCAGUGGUGAAGCCAGCCGGAAGAACCUCUGCGUCAUUAUUAAUUUUGGUGAUAUUUUUCAUCAUAGUGUAGAAUAAUUUUAGUGCUUAUUCCGCAAAAAAAUGGCCUCAACUGACCCCAUAGCUUGUAUGUUGCGCCACCACUGUUUCGUAUAUCUUAUUACAUCCGUUGUUUUUAGAUCUUGAUGCAUAACUUUGACAAUUUUUAAUAGAUAUGUGUCUGUAUAAAAAAAUUAUAAAUGCUAUGAUAAUUUGAUUAAUUAUGAUGAAUAAAAUGGUAUUGCUUUGACUUGAUCCCUCUAACAAUUUAUAGGAAUGCUCUUAAAUAUUUCUGCUUCAUUUGAUCUCAUUAUAGCCUGCCUAAAUUACAUGGCUUAAUCGCCUUUUUUCUUUUAUCUUAGUUCAUUUCCGUAAAUUCAUUUGUACUAUAUAUGCUCCCGUAAAUUCAUUUUUUUAAUUGCUCACAUUUUUUUGAGGCAUUUUGAGUUUCUCACGUACGCUCAAACGCCCAAGAAAACACAUAUAGUGUUCGCUACGCCCAAGAAAACACAUUGAGGCAGUAAUUUCUUCAGGCAAGAUCGAUCGGCAGCUAAUUAAGUAGGCUGGAUGGCAUUGAGAAAUCCAAAAACGAUUUACAUACACAUGGUAGAUCGUCUCUCUCUCUCCUUCCACCCCUUCCUUUCAUGGCCAUCGUAGACUGCACCAUGUGGCAUUCAAACUUUUAUCAAGGGGAGAGUUUCCUCACACACACACACACACAUGCACAUACGCAAGCACACGCACACACGUGUAGUACAAACUUAGAAUUUUUGGAAAUAAUGGGAGGCCGAGCAACGGCCAUGUGAAAAUAUGAGGUAUAUAGCUUGUGGAUUUCCUUUCAGUGUACAAGGCCUGCAUGAGGAAUGGAUAAAAAAUUAUAUCUUUGAUUCCCUUAGUUAAAUCUUAUCCUUCAUCGUCAAUUAUGACUAAGCAUACAUAGUAACCGCUAGUUUCUCUUAUAUGCUUCCGAGAAGAUAAGACUGGAUAUUUUAGUUGCUAUUAAUUGUUUCCCUUCUUUCGCUAAAUAGUAGUCAAACAUGUUAUUAAUGUAUUUUGUAAGGAUAAGGUCGAGCAUCAUGGCCACUAUGUUCUAUAUAUACUGAAUUUGGUGUUCAGUAUGACAUAACAAACACAUAUUGUGAGAAGGAGUAGUGUACAUUGUUCUCUAGUGCACUUUGUUCAGCAAGUUGGGUGAAAAUGUUGAAUAGAACCAUCAAGUUUUCAUACUUUUUUUCAUGGCACAGGUUUGCCUUCUCAUGAUGAUGGCCGCACCGUUUGCACAAGCUGCUGGGAGGCCUGUGGCCUCCUUACCAUGGGUAGCGGGGUGUUGCCCGAGGAACUAUUUGUGUUGUGGUGUUGGUGCCGUUGCCCCGACAUCCCAUGCAUCACAGGCCACCUCUGUACCUUGAGUUAUGGUUUCGCCUGAUCUCCUCUCAUAACAUAGUUGAUAUAACAUAGUAGCAUCACAAAGGUUGCAUGGUUUCAUUGAUUCAUCUCUUUUCUACUCCUUGAAACUUGUGAUGCCACUUUUGAACAAUGUCAUUGCUAUGUCUUCUUAUAACUAAUAAAAUGGGAGGAUAUUUUCAUCUUAUUUGAAUUGUGUUGUAACAUUACCUACUAAUGUGGAUGAUCUGAGUGGGACUACAUAGAUCGGAUCUUCUAAAGAUGUAAUCUAGGACUUUGCGAGAUGAUGAAAUUGUCCUUUAUCUUGGUCGACACCUUUUCGUAGAAGUGUUGGUCGGCCGUCUGUGUCUUUUUGCGGUGCAUGCCGUAGAAUCCUCCAUGUUUUGUAGUUGUACAAUAACCUUUGAGGCAACCGGGGGUGGUACGUCUGAGGAAGUCGGUGGCCCAGGAAUAUUCAUAAUAAGAUCUUGACCAUGGAUGCCAAGUAAUUUGCCCCGUGCUGAUGUCGUCGGGCUGACCCGCUCACUUAUGUUUUGACUCAAGGAGUCGCUAUGUUCACCGAGUCGCGAGACAGCGGGAGGAAGGAGACGAAGGUCCCAAACGUCAGACCAAAAAGGUGGACUAGGGCUCGCCCUAGUUGUGCUCUCGGGUAUUUUCAGUUACUAGUAGGAGUAAGAAGCAUUGCAAAUUGCUCCCUCUGUUCAAUCCGUAUAUAUGUAGUCCAUAUUCAUAUAUUCAAAAUAUUUUAUAUUUGUGAACGAAGGAAGUAAUUAAUUGUAAUGCAACAAUUUCAGGGGAGGCCAGUCAACAGCUAACUAAAUGUGCUGGAUGAGACUGGAGAAAUGUAUAAACGAUUUACACAUGAUAGAACUACUCUUUUCUUGUUAAGAAAUGGAAGAAUGGAUGAUUUUAUCCGUUCGGAACAAAACCCAAUAUUCAUCCAGUUAGACGUUGUUCUGAAUUGUGACGCUUUUGAAAGUUUUCUCGCAGAAAUAUGUGUGUAUUCCAGUUGUAUCAUUAGCAAACCAAGGUUGUAUAUAUUAUAGCACAAAGAAUGUUUGGUUGAUUCGUUCAGGCGAAUCGGGUUUGUUGCUGACUGCCAAAGUCAGGCCAACUCCAGCGCACGACCCCAAACGGACAUCUGUUUUGCCUGGAUUCUGCCCGUUUGGAUAGGGCAAUGGGGUCGUGUCCGGGCCUGUCCUGUGAUGCGGUGGCCGUGCGCACAACGUGCGGACGCAUCCUUUGGCCUCAUCAUGUCCGCCACGGCCAAAAAUGCCCAUAUAUUCAUAUUUCAAUGUUCAAAACUAGUUUGCACGUUCAAAUAUUAAUUGUCUGAAAAUAAAAAUAGUUAUUACAACCCAAUCAAAAUUGUCUCUAAUAAAAUAGUUUUACAACCAAAUCGAAAUUGUCUUGAAUGAACAUAAUGAACCAAUACAUCUAUUGGUUGCCAAUGUGAUUCCACAUGUGCUCAACCAAGUCAUUUUGAAGAUCCAAAUGAGUGUGCCAAUCAUGCAUUUCACGAUGAAAUUGGGCAAACUUCUCAAACGUGGCCGGUUCUUGGUGCAGGGGCUGAACAUUUUCACCUUGAAAAUCAAAUCCUUGGUCGAAGAUGCUGUUAUCAUGCUCGUCCUCGAUGAUUAUGUUGUGCAUGAUCACACAAGCAGUCAUCACCUCCCGAAGCUUCCCUUCAUCCCAUGUCAAUGCAGGGUUUCAAACGAUACCCCAUCGGGAUUGAAGCAAACCAAAAGCACGUUCCACAUCCUUCCUAGCACUCUCUUGCAUUUGGGCAAAUCUCUUUCUCUUCUCACCUUGGGGGUUCGAGAUUGUCUUCACAAAAAGUUGACCACUGAGGAUAUAUACCAUCAGCUAGGUAGUAUCCCUUGUUAUACUGGUGGCCGUUGAUCUCAAAGUUGCCAGGUGGGGAGUGGCCUUCUGCAAGCCUUGCGAAGACUGGAGAACGCGGCAGCACGUUGAUAUCAUUGUGAGAACCUGCCAUGUCGAAGAAAGAAUGCCAUAUCCAAAGAUCUUGCGAAGCCACCGCUUCUAAUAUGAUAGUGCAAGCUUUAACAUGCCCCUUGUACUGGCCCUGCCAAGAAAAUGGACAGUUCUUCCACUCCCAGUGCAUACAAUCUAUGCUACCAAUCAUGCCUGGAAAGCCUCUAGCUGCGUUGGUCGCCAACAAGCUUUCUGUAUCAGUGGCAUUUGGCUGCUGAGGGAGUCCUGGAUUAAGGGGUCCUCGGGCGUCUGGGCUAUGUAACAUGGGCUGGACUAAUGGGCCGCGAAGAUACAAGAUGGAAGGCUUUCCCCCCAUGUCCGGAUGGGACUCUCCUUGGCGUGGAAGGCAAGCUUGGCAUGCGGAUAUUAAAGAUUCCCUUCCCUGUAAACCGAGUCUGUACAACCCUAGCCCCCUCCGAUGUCUAUAUAAACCGGAGGGUUUAGUCCGUAGAGGCAAGGAUAAUCAUACAGGCUAGAUAUCUAGGGUUUAGCCAUUACGAUCUCGAGGUAGAUCAACUCUUGUAAUCCCUAUACUCAUCAAAGUCAAUCAAGCAGGAAGUAGGGUAUUACCUCCAUUAAGAGGGCCCGAACCUGGGUAAACAUCGUGUCCCCUGCCUCCUGUUACCCUCUAUCCUUAGACGCACAGUUCGGGCCCCCCUAUCCGAGAUCCGCCGGUUUUGACACCGACAGCUGCCUCAAGUACUCAGGGCCAAACACUGCCACCACAGCCUUGUAGAAUUUGUAAAGUGACAACAGACAUGUCGACUCACUCAUGCGCACGUACUCAUCCACCAGAUCGCCUGGAAUUCCAUAUGCAAGCAUGCCGAUGGCCGCGGUGCACUUCUGGUAAGAGGAGAAUCCAAGCUUGCCAAGGGCAUCCGUCUUGCACUCGAAGUAUGGGUCAUGAGCAACCACUCCCUCUCGGAUACGAUUGAACAGAUGCCUUGCCAUACGAAAACGGCGACGGAAUUUAUUCGGCUUGAAGAGCGAGGUAUUCGCAAAGUAAUUGGCAUAGAGCAAGGCGUGGCCUCUCUCUCUAUUGCGUUUCAGGUUGGGAGCACGGCCAGGGACUGACCCCAUGUACCGAGGAAGCUGCCCAAUGUGAUCGUGAACGACCAGUGCAACCACCACCAGAUCUUCGUCAUCCGAGGACGAAUCAUCCGAUGAAUAAAUGAAGUGGUGGAAGAAAAAUUCAUCUCCACUGUCCAUACCUUUGUGGGCAAAGUGUCCAACACCUUGCGGUCGUGGUGGCAAAUAGGCCGCGAUGAUCAUCUCGAUGCAGCAGGGGUGGUUGGCGGCCGGCUACUGGCCGCUAUGGAGCACCUGGCGAAAGCUGCCGUGGUCCAUAUCCGUCGCCGGUGGUCGUAUCCCCUCUGGCACCGGCUACAACGACGACGGCCAAAUCUCCUCCAAGCGAUGGCCAGAACUCCUACGAAAGCGCGGGCUUGGUGGCGGCCGUGUCGAGACGUGGUUUGGUAUGGAUGGCCGGGGGGAAGCAGUGAGGAGGCGGUCGGAGAAUACUGGGGGCGCCGGUGGCGGGGUGGGGCGGAGGAGAGCGGGUGGAGGCGUUGGAGGCGAAUGGAGUGCUAGUGUCCCCAACAGGCGGGCCGCGGGGAGGACAAGGGCGUGUGUCCAGCCCGUCCGUGUGAUGUCCGUUUCAUCCCAAACUCGGCACAAGUUUGGGCCAGGAAUGGGUAAAAAACGGACGAAAUCCGGACAUUUGUCUAUUUGAGGCCGUGCCUUGGGUCGCGCUAUUCGUGUAUUCUACCCUAAACGGACGCACCAGAACGGAAUGGGGUCGCGUGCUGGAGUUGGCCUCACGACCGUUUCUGCCUUUGGCGCAGACAAGAGAUUCUACACUGUAAAGGAAAAAGCUGAAAGCUCGCUUGUCUCGUGUGUUUCUCUUCUCUUGCACCUUGUCGGAAAACAGCGUGCACCAGGGACGCUCGAUUCCAUGGCAGGCAUCAAUUCAAUCGAUCAUGCUACAGGGAACCGGCACUAUUUUCUUUUUCUUUUUCUUUUUCUUUUAGGUCGUGAACGCAAGUCAUUUGAGACAUUCACAUAGGACUUACAUAAUUGGUAGAUUUAUUAGCAUCAGUGUGGAGCUAAAGUGUUUGAUGUUUUGUAUGAAUGGUUUGGUCUUAACAAUCAAGCCGACCACUCAGGACCUACUUUUGGACUUUUUUUUUGUAUUAUUGUAUACUAGCAAAAGGGCCCGUGCGCGGAGAAAAAAAUUAUAAUCUUGAAUGACCAUGAUCACAUUUUUUUGCAUCACCGAGAUACACUAUCACUUUCAAUUUCGGGAAAUCAUGUACAUUUUUUAAACUUGUGAACAUUUUUCAAAUUCUUGAACACUUUUACAAAUCUGCAAACAUAUUCUAAAAUCAAGAACAUAUUUUGAAUUCAUGAACAUUUUAUAGUAUUUACAAACAUUUUUAGAAAUUACGAAUUCUUUUUAACAACUUUCUUGAAUAGGCAAACAAUUCUAAAAUGGACGAACAUUGUUUUAUAAAUCGGUGGAACAAUUUUUGAAAUUCACGAACAUUUUUUUGAUUUUACAAACAUUUUUUGAAAUGCAUGAUCAUUUUUGUAUAAACUAUUUUGUAUGUCACGAACAGAUUUUCAAAUAUUUGGUUAUUUCCCCAUUCAUGAACAUUUUUUGAAUGGUGAUAUUUUCUUCAAUUUCAUUAACAUUUUUUAUACACCAAUUUUUAAAAAGUCAUGGACGUAUUUUGAUUUCAUGAACAUUUGUUUUCAAAAUUUCGAACAUUUUUCGAGUCAGAUUCUUUAAUAAAAUUGCAAAUAUUUUUUGAAUACAUAAACAUUUUAUGAUUUAUUAAAACUUUAUUUGAAAAUUAUUUUUAAAUUUCAAAUAUUUUGUGUAUUCCGAAUUUAGUUAAAGCAGAAAAAACGGAAAAGGAUAAAAAAGGAAAUGUUAAAAACAGGCCGCCCGGACAUGGGCGGCCCAAACAGGCGGGCCGCGCCUUAUCCCUACGCGCAGAGCCCAGUAUGGGAGGUCGCUACUACAUGGCCCAGUCCAGACGUGGAUUCCCUGUGUGAAACAUUUAUAUCACUUAUACAUGACAUUUGUGGGUAAUUUGUACGACGUGCCAUAAGAAGAAAUAGCCCCUUUAUUAUUACUAGCAAAAGUGUCCGUGUGUUGUAAUGGGAGAAAUAAAAUCAAAAUCUCCAAUGACCAUGACCAUAUUUUGUUGCAUCACCCAGACACCCUAUCACUCUCAAUUUCAUGAAAUCAUGAAUAAUUUUUGAAAUCACGAACAUGUUUUAAAAUUAUUACUCAUAUUUGAAAUUGUGAACAUUUUUCAAAUUCAUGAACACUUAUACAAAUUUUCGAACAUUUUCUAAAAUCCAGAACAUUUUUGGAAUUGAUGAACAUUUUAUACUAUUUGCAAACACUUUUUAAAGAUUCUGAACAUCUUUAUAAACAAUUUUCUUUAAUCGAGGAACAUUUGUAUGGAAAUUGACGGAACAAUUGUCGAAAUUCACAAACAUUUUUUGAUUGAACUAACAUUUUUUGAAAUACAUGAUCAUUUUUUGAAUCAGUAGACAUUUUCUGAAUGACUAAACUAUGUUGUAAGUCACGAAAUAGUUUUUGAAUUUUAGGAUAUUUCUCCAUUCAUGAACACUUUUUGAAUUGGCUAUUUUUUUCAAUUUCAUUAACAAUUUUUGAUACAAAAACUUUUUAAAAAUCAUGAAUUUUAUUUGAUUUCCCAAAAAAUUGUGUUUAAAGUUUUGAACAUUUAUUGUGUAAGCAAUUGUUUUUUACAAAACAGCGACCAUAUUUUGAAUCCACAAACAUUUUAUGAUUUAUGAAAAUUUUAUGUCAAAAUACUCAUUUUUUAAAUUUUCUAAACUUUUUUGAAAUCCUAAACUAUUUAUAGUAAAAAGAACGAAAACAGGAAAGAAAAAUGAAAAUAGAAAACGAAAUCAAAGAAACAGGCCAGCCUGAAAUGGGCCGGCCCAAACAUGCGUGUAGCGUCUUCUCCCAGCGUGCCGAGAACAUUAUAGGAGGUCCCUACUGUAGAGCCGGCCCAGAUGGGGGAAUUCCCUUGUGUGAAUUUUUUGUAUCACUUAUAUGUGGCAUUGAACUCAUGAAGCAUGCGCUAUCCCUUCCAGCUCGCCGCCAUGUCUGGCUCGGACAACCAGAUGGACUUUCUUUCGUCCCUGUAAACGUUUUGAUGAUAUAAUAAAAAGCUUCGGAAUUUGUCUAAAAAAACUUAUAAGUGGCAUUGGUGGGUAAUAUUUUGCAACUUUAGAGGUAAUUCCAUGACGUACCACCAGAAGCACAAUAGCCCCUUUACUAUUAUUAGGUACUCUUUUUUCCUUGUGGAGCUUUGGAAAUGAGAGAAUUUGAAUAUAGUAACUCUCGGAAACUCUUAUUGGACGAGAGAGAUUUAAUAUGAUAUUGGCAUGGGUUCUACCAACUAAACGAAGAAGUAUUUGACUGAAUAAACAGACAAUUUCCUUUAAUCGACGAACAUUUUUAUGAAAAUUGGUGGAAUAACUUUUGAAAUUCAUAAAUAUUUUUUGAGUUAACGAACAUUUUUUGAAAUACAUGACCAUUUUUUUGAAUCUGUGAACGUUGUAUGAAUGAAUAAACUAGUUUGUAAGUCAUGAGCAGUUUUUCAAUUUUUAGGAUAUUUUUCCCUUCAUGAACAUUUUUUCAAUUGGUGAAAUUUUGUUCAAUUUCAUUAACAAUUUUUAGUGCAUAAAACUUUUUAAAAUCAUGAACAUUAUUAUUUACCAAAGAAGCAAAUUGUUUUUUGCAAAAUCAUGGACAUUUUUUGAACCCACAAACAUUUUAUUAUUUAUGAAACAUUUUUUUAAUACACAAUUUUUUUAAUUUUCGAAUUUUUGUGAAAUACUAAAUUAUUUAAAGUAGAAAAAUCAAAAACAGAAAAGAGAAAGGAAUAAUAGAAAAGGAAGUUAAAUAAUAGGCCGACCGAACAUGGGCUGGCCCAAACGGGCGCACUGCAUCUUCUNNNNNNNNNNNNNNNNNNNNNNNNNNNNNNNNNNNNNNNNNNNNNNNNNNNNNNNNNNNNNNNNNNNNNNNNNNNNNNNNNNNNNNNNNNNNNNNNNNNNNNNNNNNNNNNNNNNNNNNNNNNNNNNNNNNNNNNNNNNNNNNNNNNNNNNNNNNNNNNNNNNNNNNNNNNNNNNNNNNNNNNNNNNNNNNNNNNNNNNNNNNNNNNNNNNNNNNNNNNNNNNNNNNNNNNNNNNNNNNNNNNNNNNNNNNNNNNNNNNNNNGUAUUAUUAUUGUUUCAAAUUUAUUCAUAUAUUAUUUUCAAUUGUACAACCAUAAUUUUUCUUAUCUCUCUCGUUCCACUACAUGCUCCUAGUCAAAGAUUUUUUUUAAUAAUGGGUGUUUUUAUUAACUCAAAAUAUAGCAUCAAGCGGAUACAAAACAUAAUGAGCCACACCCGGUCUAUGCAUAACUAAGAUGCACACAGCCAAAAGCAGAAGUCUGACAAAAAUAAGAUAAGAAAAUCGACAUAUCGACAACAGUGAGUCAUGUAGUACCGACACUAUGCCUCUGUCGAAGGAGGUGGUGGAGCGAUCUGGAGAUUAUGCUGCCAUCCAUGUUGAGUAAAUAUCUCCCUGGCCACUUGCUCCAACCGCAUAGACGCCGCCAUGAACAACGGUUGGUACUCCAUUCGGUGUAGCAUACACCAUACUAGAGGCUGGGGCGCCACCUGAGGCGGGCCUAUGCGCACUUAUUUUGUCUGGGCACUUCGGUUGUCAUGUUUGGUCAUCAGUAUCACUUAUGUACAUCAAUAUGGGCGUAUGCUGUAUUGUUUGAGUUCAUUAGGAUCUAUUAGUAUCACAUCAAUCAAAGUACAUAUACUAUGUUAUUUGAGUUCAGAACCAUCAUAGGCAAUGAUACGUCUAAUAAGGAUAUAUAACAUUUAAUUCAAAAGGAAAGACAAAGUAGAAUUAAGUGCUUUAGUUUGGCCGAAGAAAGGAACCUCAUGAUGCCAUGACUAAGGAACCAAAUAUAAAAGAGCACCUUUCAGAGUACUCCAGAGGUAUGACAUCAUCCAUUUCCACAUCAGAAUCAUCGGAAUUCUCCUGAUCUUCAUUUCGAUGUACCCAACACAAAUGCUACAUGGAUUUUAGUCAGCUGCACUCCCCACUACUUCUACACUUCCCCUUUUUCACACCGACGAGCAGAGACUGAUGCAAGUUGAUCGAACACAGAACAACAUAUAAUUUCCUAGAGAUGCGCUGGGCCUGAAAGGCAACAUACCUAGCAUGCGCAUAAAAUGUGAGAGUAACAAUAAAAGAACAUACCAUUUACCGAUAUGAUUAUUAUUGCUUGCCAAAAUGAUACGUUUUGAUUACUAUUGCAUGCCAAUAUUCUUAAUCACUCCAAGCAAAUUUAACCUAAACUAAAUAUCUAAGAGUAAGCUCUGGUUUAUGUAUUUUACAGAAGUUUGGUUCAGCGAAACUUCGGAAGCAAAUGUGUGAAGGUUUUAUCAUUCUAAUUAAAGGCCUUUUGAUUGUGCAAAACUUACACUACCACAUGAGUUACUGACCAACAUGAGAUGCAAAGUAACAACAGCAUGAUAAUUUUUUUUGAAGGCAGUCAUAUUCUAAAGCAUUAAAAGAUGAAUUCCAAUGCUUUGAUUCUGUAAAGAAUUAGAUCGAUCACUCAACAGUUCUAUUGGCGCCACUAAAAUUCUGAGUGCAAUGUUGUGUAUGUAGCUAAAAUUCACCCAUCAAAGACAACCUUAAUAAUAAGCAAUGGUCAAAACAAGCAAUUGUUGAAGUUAAAUGUAAUUAGAUAGGAAGUCACAUUUGAUUCAUGACCAUCGAGCUGAAAAUGAGACCGAUAAAAGCUGAUUCACCAUGAAGAGAAACAACUAAUGUGAACCUCGGGUUGUAAAACAAAUAGGAUGAGUCGUGUGCUGAUUGCAAAAAAUUGUACUUCUAACCAAAUGACCAUGCUUCAUGAAUAGAUGACAAUAUAGUAACACGAAAGUGAAGUACGGUGAAAUUUUGUAAGCUACUAAGGGCAUAGGGCAAAGCUCACACUCCAGCUUGCACUCCUUGAAGAAAUCAACCAAAAGCACCCAGAAAGAUAAAUGGCAUUGUGGCAUCCGAUGAAUGUUGAUAACUGUACCAUCACACUAAUUUAAUCUACAAAAUUCAUGUCAACAUCACUAAUCAUGAUGUAUCAGGUUAGGAUAAAAUCAUUGUUUUUUCCCAAAAUAAAAUAAAACAAGCCCAGUUAGAAAGAAAUCAUAAGCCUAUCAGACAAUCAGGCAAUUCUGUUAGCAUGUCAACAAUCAGACAGAACAAAACCUAUAGUCCUCAUUUUUUUCUUUCUAAAAAAAGUGUAAUGCUAGAAAAGAGAGUUAAAUAAAAUGCUACGUGAAUCAGCAUACAGAAAAUUCAUAGAAGCAAUGAAGAAAAUAUGAACAAAAUUUAUGUCGAAACACCUAUACUUUCCCCACGAGCAAAUAUGUGUAAUGUUAGAAAAGGGAGUUAAAUAAAAUGUUAGGCAAAUCCGCAUCCAGAAAAUUCAUAGAAGCAAUGAAGCAAAGAUGAGCGACAAAUUUAAUCUACACACACACACACACACACACAUUCAGGCAAACAAAUUACUUCGAUUGAAUCCAUUCCUUUGCAUAUAUGGCAUAAAUGCAUCUAAGGAAAAAAAAACUUGAUGGUGUUAGUUUACCUUGCCAAGAUCAUGAAAUCCAUCUAAAUGAAUAAGAAGCUCCAACAGUGUCCGCUGGAUCUCAUGGUCGUCAUUGGUUCCCUCACUAAAUCUUCUCGCAUCAAUUGCAUCGAUUUCAUCCAUGAAGAUAAUGCAUGGCUAGAAAUAACAACUUGAUGAAAAUGAAACAAAAUUUGCAAGCACCGUAAAUAAACUAAAUGGUGAUAUAAGCUAAAAUGAUCUCAGAAGUGCACUUUUACAUAUAUAGAGAUCAGUUUGAUUUCUUCUUCUCAGGAAAAACUGAUACUGAAAUCUAAAGCUUAAAGUUUUUCUAGUGUUGAACCAGAAUACAAUUAGAUGACAUGACAUCUGAGUCAAGGGAACUAUCAAAGUCACAGCUUGAAUCUCAACACCAGUAGAUGCAUAACCAUCUGCCAACAUACGUUUCUAACAGAUAAUAAGGGAAUUAGGUUUAAGACCAAUUGGCUUUGCAAAAAAGAAAGGCGGAGCAAAACUUACUUGGCGAUCGCGUGCAUAGCCGACCAUUUCUCUGAUUAAAAGCGCACUUUCCCCGAUAUAUUUGUCAAUUAUAGCACUUGACACAAUCUGGUUUUUAGACAACACGUCAGUGUAAUGUAAUACUCACAGAAUGAAAAUACCAACCACCAUCAAUCAAGUGAAAACCACAGCUCCAAAAAGUUAGCAUGAAUGUUACUGGAUAUAGCCCUUGAUAGUAAUGGCUUCCCUGUAGAGUAGAACGCACUUGAAAAAGUUAAAGAAACAUACACUGGCUCCCAUAUAUUGAUCUUGUAUUUGACAAGUGGCCGGGCAUCAACAUUGUGCCUGCUGGUGUACCAAUUCAGCUUGUAGCUGCCAGCUAAUCUCCUUCUGAACAGUUAUGCUGUCCUCACUCACGUGCUACGCCUAUUCAAACUUGCUUAAUUUAAUUUGUUACUACUAUGUUAAUGCUGACAUAUUAACUGGCAGACCUCAUGUACUAACAGUAAAUCCCAGCAUACUUUCUUAAUUUGCUACUAUCCGGAUUUAUUCUUUUAGCGAGAGGUCAGGUAUCACUUGGAACAACUGAGUUUCUUUUUAAUCUUUGUGGACACUACACUUGAACGCCACAACCACCUGGAUAUGUCAGGCAGGACGGGCAGCAGCGCAUCAUCAGUAAGUUUAUUUAAGAGAGUAAAAUUCAGUCGCAAUCAGUCAAUCUCAAUCAGGUUCAGAUUUGGACGCGACCUUGAAUAACGAAGCCCCAACUGGGAAGAACAAGGUUGCAAGAACAAGCAGAUUGACGAUGGGUUCAUGGAAGCUUACCAGGCAGGCAGUCCGCCCGGCGGCUUGAGCAAGCUGCUGCUGGUACCCUACGCGCAGUCGCAGUCCGCACCGGCCAGGGCACACGAGCACUGACGCGCGUGCCGCCUGCCGCUUCACCAUGCCCACGUUGUAGUCGCCACCGAUUCACGGCAGGGCAGAGGGGCCUCGACCUCGUCCUCCUCCACAUCAUCAUCGGCGAUGCCCUUCCCCUCCUGACCCCAACACCAUCAUGCCCCCGCCGACUCAUCUCCCUACAGCGACGGCGACUCCGGAGGCUCCGAGACCUGGGACACCGACAUGAGUGGCUCGUCGGCAUCGGAUCUCCUCCACCCNNNNNNNNNNNNNNNNNNNNNNNNNNNNNNNNNNNNNNNNNNNNNNNNNNNNNNNNNNNNNNNNNNNNNNNNNNNNNNNNNNNNNNNNNNNNNNNNNNNNNNNNNNNNNNNNNNNNNNNNNNNNNNNNNNNNNNNNNNNNNNNNNNNNNNNNNNNNNNNNNNNNNNNNNNNNNNNNNNNNNNNNNNNNNNNNNNNNNNNNNNNNNNNNNNNNNNNNNNNNNNNNNNNNNNNNNNNNNNNNNNNNNNNNNNNNNNNNNNNNNNNNNNNNNNNNNNNNNNNNNNNNNNNNNNNNNNNNNNNNNNNNNNNNNNNNNNNNNNNNNNNNNNNNNNNNNNNNNNNNNNNNNNNNNNNNNNNNNNNNNNNNNNNNNNNNNNNNNNNNNNNNNNNNNNNNNNNNNNNNNNNNNNNNNNNNNNNNNNNNNNNNNNNNNNNNNNNNNNNNNNNNNNNNNNNNNNNNNNNNNNNNNNNNNNNNNNNNNNNNNNNNNNNNNNNNNNNNNNNNNNNNNNNNNNNNNNNNNNNNNNNNNNNNNNNNNNNNNNNNGGAGGCUCGAGCUUGGGAAGGGGGGAGGGGAACGAAGGGGUGGGGCUCCAGGCAAUCCUCACCUCCAAAGACAACUUGACCGGCAACACGGGCAGGCUAGACCUCUUCUAUGGCGAGGCCAACUUCGGCGAGGGGACGAGGUGGUGCGGGACCUUGGAGAUAUCUCCCCCGCGCGUGGAGCUUGUCCGGCGACGCCGCUGAAGAUGCCACUGCCACGACCAGCUCGAUCCUCCUUCGCUGGACUCCGAUCUGGACGAGGACUGAGCUAGGAGGAGGGAAGCGGGAGAGGAGAAGGCGCAGGAGAAGCGGCUGAGCCGGCGGCGCAGGGACCAGGGAGAGAAGAAGGCGAACGAAGAGGGGAUUGACAGAGUGGCGAAGAAGCAUGCGGGCUAGGUUUCCUUUUCUUUUUCUCCCAGCACUGCACAGUUGCUUGUCUCGUAGCUUGCCGGCAUGGCUAUGGCGAGGGCUCGCCCUUGAUGCGUAGGUUAAUGUAUUCGACUAGCGGGGCGCCUCUUGAGAGGAAGCUGAGCGGUGCUAGGUGGGACGCGCCCCUUUCCCUUUCCUGCAUAUACUAUGUAAUGUUAUUGCAUCAGAUUUAAAGUAACAUGCUCAGCUAAGUGCAAAGUGUGAUGAAUAAGUGAAACAGAAGGAAGCUGGUACAUUGGUGUAUGCCAAAAACUGAAUAUUAUAACAUAAACACAUGAAGUCAUCGACGUCUAUGGUAUGAAAUGCACAUGCACAAAAUUAGAGUGCACAUGAAGACAGAGCACUAUAGUGUCCUGAGUUGCAAGUCUCUAAGCACUGAAAUGAUCUGCAAUCAUAUGUACAAAGUAACCGAAUAAGAACAAGAAAUUUAGAGUAAAUGAGCUGUAAAAUUGUAAGUAAUGAGCAUUGGAAUUAAGGCAGAGUCAGUGACAGUUGGGUGCACUUGACAGGAAAAUCGGCGAGGCAUAAUAUGAAAUUAGAGUAAAUGAGUGCGUGCACUUCUCUUGGUGGCACCUAAAUGAAAAAAGAAACUAUUCACCUCUCGAUAUAUUCCCUAAGACCAUAUAAAAUCAGGAAGGUACUGAAGAGAGAUGCUCAAAUUCGAAGUUGCCAUGUCUAGGAAUGCUUGAAGCUUCAAAGAUUUCCUAUAAUACAGCAUGCCUCUAACUAUUCACAAUAAGAAAAACAUGUAAAUGCGGAAUCAACCAAAUGAUGGUAAAUUGUAGUUGAUUUUGGCCAAGCAAACGUCAGAUGAAAGAAACAUACAUGAGUGAACAUCACGAUUGGAUGUUUUAUUCAAAUUUAACAGGUUAAACUCACCAAAUACAUCUGGAUAUUUAGUGUUAAACUUCAACAGAUGGUCAGUUGUAGCUAGAUUCACACCACUGAAGCAAAAUUCCAUCUGCCACGGUUACAUCACACCAUCUUUUCAUCGUUACUAUUUAAAUUCCAAAAGCCUGCAACUCAUUUUUUUUGUUACGAUGUAUGCAUGAUUUUUAACUCAAGAGGAAGAGGGGAAACUAAAUCCAAGAAAAGAACACCAAGGAAGCAUCCAAAAUAGAGAAAGGAAAAAUCCAAAAUAGAGGCAGAAUCGAAGGGAAGAAACCCCAUAAAAAAUAGGAGAUCAAACGGUGAAAAAAAUCUAAGAGUCAAACAAUUCCAGGUAAGACCAAAUCGACGGCAAAAUAGCACAAGAGGGACUCACAUUAACAGGUAUACCAAUUCAGAAAGAAGUGUAAAGCAAACAGUGCAAUGGACCACUAGUAUAAAUUGGAUGUACACAAACAUGGGACUUAAACAGGAACUGCGAGAUGCAGGGUUCACGUGCAAACCCAAAAAACGGAAAACUGAAACCCACAACAAGAUUUUAUCUUCAUAUAUAUAUAUAUAUAUAUAUAUAUAUAUAUAUAUAUAUAUAUAUAUAUAUAUAUAUAUAUAUAUAUAUAUAUAUAUAUAUAUNNNNNNNNNNNNNNNNNNNNNNNNNNNNNNNNNNNNNNNNNNNNNNNNNNNNNNNNNNNNNNNNNNNNNNNNNNNNNNNNNNNNNNNNNNNNNNNNNNNNNNNNNNNNNNNNNNNNNNNNNNNNNNNNNNNNNNNNNNNNNNNNNNNNNNNNNNNNNNNNNNNNNNNNNNNNNNNNNNNNNNNNNNNNNNNNNNNNNCCUAUCUAUUAGUUGCUUCUUCCGAAUCCCCACCUAUCAAGCGUUUUCUUUGAAUAAACAAACACAAUAGUAUUCUCUGAAUUAUACUGUACAGUGAUAAUUAACCAAGCGACUGGAAUUAACAAUAUUAUGAGCUAUUGGCUUUUUAGUCAGGUAAAUAUCAUUCUUAAGACUACGGAAAACAGCAGGCGGCGAAGAAAACAUCUAUUGAUGAGAACUAUACACAUACUUAAGAAGGAAGUGACAUCUAUGGUAGCAGAACAUAUAUCAAGCUGUUGCAGCUACAUUAGCAGUUUAGCACAGUCCCUCCAUAAUACACAGGCUAGUGUAAUUUCACAAAUACAAUAAGCUAACAAUAUAUAUUUGGUAGAUGGAAAUGGCUGGAUCAUGACCAAUAUACGAUUACACAUCCGAUGAUGCAAAUAAAGAAACGAGGCCCAACAAUAGUGGAAAAUAAACCACAAUAGAACAUGUAUUUGGCGAAACCUCCAUACUGCAAUAUCAAACAUGAAUUGAAAUUAACAAUCUAGCAAAAAAACAUGACAGAUGCAGUCUUGGUCAUUUUUUCUUUUGUGACAUCCCCUAAAAAAAGUAAAAAGAAUGUUGUUCGUAUUUUACCAGAGAUACACUGAGCUGGGACAAAUCGGUCUGAAAUAAAAUAUGAUGGCUUCGGAGGAUUCGGAAGGCAAGAAAUUUGCUUUCUUCCAACAUAUAUGGUCUGCUGAACUAAACUUUGUUUCAGCGAGCUUUGGCAAAAAUCUGUAACUGCAAACAUCAAACUUGUGUGCCCUUCCUACAUCAAACUUUAAACCUGACGGAUUAAAUAUUUUAGGUUAGGCUGAGAUCAGUGUACUUUAUGAGUGUUAAGUGUACUUUCUAAAUAGCAGAGAAACCAUAACAUCUAAGCACAACCCAGCAACUUGUACAAGCUAACAUCAAAUCUGAAAGAGGAAAUGUCGAGAACAGGUGAAGGUACCAUGAUCCAUGACUGAGCAAAGUUAUCUAUAAUCCUCGGUGAAUAUCAUAAAUUAGGAUCAACAAAGCUGAAGAACAAACGGGAAAGGAACCUAGAAAGAUCUUCUGCCGGUAGAAUAUAACUGAUACACUAUCCUCAUUCUCGAGAUCAAGGUCGUUUCUUGAAUUGCAGUUUCCUCACUGUAGUAUGGGGUCAUUACACUGCGAAGAACAAAGUGUCAUAUGAAUCAUUUAGAGCCCAAUCUUUUUCACUGAAACUCUUAUGAUCACAUAACGAAUUUAAACAUAAGGUUUAUUAGAUAUUUGUUGUUGUGAACUGAUAAUAUAUUUCUGGUGUUGACAAUGUUUUGAUUAUGGAUGCACUUCAAGAUGGGUGGCACAGAUUCUGUUGUACAGGCCUCCACCUGGAAUUUCAUCACUUGUUAUUUUUGUUUAGAAUGUCUAGGUGCAUUUUUCCUUUAAGGUGGAAACAGAUGUACUUGUAUAAGCAACAAGAAUACAAAGCGCCACUGCCAUACAUUGUGGAAGUUCAAUGCUUCUGUUUACAAAAUCUGCUUCCCAAAACAGAAGGAUUUAUAAUUUUUUAUUACAAUCAAGCGGACAUGAGCUGAUGAGUACAGAUGUAAACAUGUACUGAGAGCAGCACCCUUUCAAAAGUGGAUCAUUUACAAGUUGGAUAGUUUGAUGGUCUGAAAUUAGUGGUCGUGUUUCAGAAUUGUUAUCGAAUAGUAGAGGAUAUAUAUUAACUUCUGAAAUUAGUGGCUGUUUGUCAGAACUGUUAUCGAAUAACAGAGCACAUAUAUUAACUUCAAUAAGUGGAGUAAUAUCUUUGGAUUCGCUGUGAGGAAAGAUUACCAAAACAAAACAGAAGUGAGUGCGACGACCCAGAUGAGGGCGCUCUUGAGCCUCUUCCCGACCGACCUAGAUGCAGGAGCAGAACACCGCGGAUCUAAUCAGCCAACGAAUAAAGCCGAGGCAGGUAGAGGAAGUAAGGGAGGAAGAAGACUGACUUGUCCUGGUCGCCCUCGUAGUAGAAUAUGGUGAACGGGAUGACGAGGAAGACGAGGACAGCGUCGAGGAUGUAGACGACGAGCCAGAGCGUCUUCAUGGGCAGGAUAAGGGCGCAGGCCCCGUUGUAGGCGGCGUGCUUGCAGGUCUGGCGGUUGGCGACGUCAGCGGGGAGCAUGAGGAUGGAGAGGACGGCGACGGUGAUGCCGAGCACGACGACGAGCUUGGGGAAGUAGGCCUGGUUGGCAUCAUCCGGGUGCUGGUAGUUGACGAGCAUGUAGACGCUGACGAGGAGCACCAGGAUGCUGACCACCGCCGCCACGAUCACUAGCGCCACGUUAAAAACCCCAUCUCCUCGGGGCUCCGGUCCCGGUUCCGGCCCGCCGCCUCGCCCCCGUUGGUCGGUCAGAUCUCUCUGUCCCUAGAGGCGGGGGGAUACAGGCUAGGGUUUGGGCGUGGGCGGGGAAUAGGCUGCUAUGGUGUCGGCAGCGGGGCGGCCACCGGCGGGGAGGGCGGGAUCCGCGCGGGGUGGCGGGAUUUGGGCAGGCGGUGGGCUCGGGGGAGGGCGGUGGCAGCGAAGCAGCAGGGAGGGGCUGGAGGAGAUGAAACGAAAGAGGUCGCGUGACACAGCGACAGCGUCGUCCAAUCCCCUCGCUGCCGAUUUAAAAAAAGGUAAUGAUAACUCCCGAACGUUCAGGAGUUAAGCAUGGCAACCCGAACGGGUUUAGAUGGCAAGUUUAGUUUGCGUGAGAUUAGAGAAACAUGGCAAUUUUCUGACAAAAGAAAUGAAAAAGGACGAAGUUGCCAUCCCCUAUCAACUAAAGUUGCCAUCCCUAUGAACUAAAGUUGCCAUGUAAAAACGUUCGGGAUGAAAUGCUCAAAAUCCGAACGUUCGGAAGUUAUUGGAUUCAAAAAAAAUCCCCUUGCUGCCAAUCGCUGGCCCGUUUCUUUUUUCGCCCAAUCGCUAGGUGAUGACGUGGCUAUCACGGGAAGGCGCCCUUGAUGCGUAGUCGAAUGGUUUUAAUUAAUAGGAAGCGAGUGCUUACUCUAGUUACUGAAUUAUGUACACCAAAUAAAGCCAUUUACACGUAGUUAAUGACAAAAAAAGUUGAUGUUUGCUACGCAAACGUGUAGUACAAAUUAAGAAGUGCAAGAUAAAAAAAAAUGCUGGUCCUUGAUUCGUUGUUGAUCGUCAGCAUGCCAUCAUCAAUUUGUAGUUAAUUAUCAUACAAAUUGGCUCUUUCAUAGAGUUGGAGGCUAGCUCCUUUGAUCAGCACGCGCUUAAACAUAAACAGCACGUAUAUGUUUUGUCUCCGGAGUUCAAUUCUUCAUCGGCCAGCAAAAAUGGCCCGACCGGGUAGAGGAAAAGGCAUGUUUGUUAGUACGCCUGGAGGAAAUGCCUUUGAUUAGGGCAUCUUCAACAGCGACCAGUAAAUUUCCUCCCGCGUUCGUCCACGGAUAGGGGAUCAGUCCGCGGAUACGGAUACAGGAAUCAUCUAUCUAACGCUGUCCGCGUAUAUUUCAAACACAUUUUUUUUAAAAAAAUAGGAUGAAAUUCAUGCAAACACAAUGGAUUUCAUACAAACCGGACAAAAAUGUUUACAUUUUGGACAUAUUUUUUUUACUAAAAACUCUACAGCCGGCGCCGGCGAAUAUCCACUCCGGCGACAUGGAACCCUUGACUAGUCUACUGCCGGCCGCAGCGGAUCUCCAAUGUCGUCCCCAUGUCCGGCAACUAUGAGCCCUAGAGGUAUAUGCUUCAGCGCAAAGAGCGGCUCGCCUCCCUACCGCUCAUCGGAGUGGAACAACCAGCUGAUGCUUCUGCCGAUGGAAAGGGUCCCUACGCUACACGGAUUAGAGUUGGUUUUGGGCUGGGAACGGCGGUGGCCUGCCAGAGGGCAAGACACCGACUGUGUAUGCUGGUGUCACCUGGUGUGGCAUUCGUGGGACCCAAGCGGCAGCGCCUCCUCGAUGAUGGCGGCGAGCGCGGACGUGUUGGACACCACCUCGUCGAUGUCCGUGCAGCCCGCUUCUUUCUCUGUAGGAAGGACGCGGUUACGCUCGCGUUGACAUCGGAUGACUCGGUCACAUGCACGGGAGGGGCGGUACGACAUGGCACCGCCAAUGGCAGCCAUGAUGCCCGCGCCAGCGUGCUCUCUCCCAGUGCCGACCUAGAGCAACUUGCCACUCCUCUGCUCGUGAACGGUGGGCUUGACGGGCCACCUAGCCAUUUUUUAUGCCAGACAACUCUUCUUCCUGCUCGUCAGAUGUCAUGGAUAAAACUGUUUAAGGAGGAAAAUGAUGAGUAGACGUGUGAUGCGGUUCUUGCCCAACAUCUGACAUUGUUUAAAUAGCGAGGGGACACGAGAGGAGCCAACUGGCGUUCUGUUUAAUGCCAACCGGCUCGCGAACGAACAUGUGGCUGGAGUAAUUAUCCUGGCACACACGCGGGUUUAAUGGUGGAAGGUGGGCAGUCUGCAGGAAUGAGGCGAGGAUGUGUGCUUAGCCGGCGUGCAGCAGGCGGCGCCCUCGGCCGGCGUGCUGCAUCCAUUGCGGAGGCAGUGAGAGGUCGCGUCCGCUCUGCAGCGCAUGAAUGCGGGCAGCUGGCGCAGAGCGGGAACGCGUGCGGGCGAGGGAGGAGGGGGUUUGGGCGGGUGGUCAGAAGAGGUCGUGGGUGUUGUCCGAACGCCUGCAAAGCCCCCCUCCAUGUUUGUCUCCAGUUUGCGGGAGAAAGUAUGUCCGAACCGUCUCCAAUGGACCAAUACAGGCCCGCAUUGGAUGGCACAACACGUCCGGACCAUGUGGUCCGGAUGGUUGUGGACAGUUUAAUUGAGGGUCGGCGUUGGAGAUACCUUAGAGUUUAUGAAUCCAUUGUGUUUUUCUAAUCAUAAAAAAGCACUUACAAUAAGUUAUAAGGAAAGACACGUUUAUAUGUUAGGUUCAGACUCCAGCUUUCGUUUUACAUAUGCUUUAUUCAUCCGACUGAUUCCAAUAGAGUGAGCCUAGCGUUGUUUUUCUGGAAACUCGCGGGAUAAGGAGACAUGCAUACACAUUCUUUCAAGCAAAUCACAUCCAUCCUUUUUAACUCAUUUUUCUUCUUUUAAUAAUAUAAUAGAUCAUUUAUAUUUUUAUCUGAAACAGUUGACGUGUAAUUUAUAUUGUAAUCUGAGGAUAAUGUUUGGAUUUUACUUUCAAAUAUAUUUGAAAUGGCCAUGAUGGAAUCACAUCCAUUUAUUUUAUUAUUAUUUGAAUUUGAUCCAAAAGAUAAAUAAUGAGUAGAGGUCAUGUCAACUUUUCUGAGAACUUUGCUAAUCAAAAUAUAAUUGUAUUUAAAAACAUCUAUUUUUUAGCACGCAUGAAAAAGAUAACACGUAUCUUUUCACACAUAAUGAACGGUUGUCAUAAGAACUCAUGCCAUGCCACAACCUCCCUCCGACCCUGCCAACAUUGUUGCAGCUGCACUCGCAAGCCUUAGCGUAGAUGAUAAUUUAUACAAUUUGCGUAAAACAAAAUAAGAUCUACAAAUGAAUAGAAGCUAGAACGUACAUUGGCAUGCACACACAUUGCAAGCCAUACUAAGCUGAUAAGUGUUAAUAACUUGUACAACAUAUACAACACUUAAGACAAGUAAAAGCAAUUUGAUGAGUCAUGGUCUAUCAAAGCCACAUUACUAGUCUAAUCCAUCUUAACAGGUCACACAUGAUUAAAAUCUUGUUUGUGUGCAAGUCAAGCUUAUCUAGUUUACAUGUAACAACUUGUAGAACAUUACAAAAUUUAUGUUUGCUAAUAACUUCUAGAACACUACAACACUUGACAUGUAAAAGGAAUUUGAUGAGUUAGCGUACUAAAGCAAGUUAUAUUACUAGUCUUAUCUACCUUAACAGGCCACACAAGAUUACAAACCAAGUUCUGUGCCAGCCAUGCUUAUCUAGAUUAUGCGUAACAAUUUGCAGAAAAUUACAAACUUAGUUUCAGAAAAAUAGGCAAUCUAGAUUAGUGUUUGAGCUGUAAAGUGAGUAAAAUGAGUCAUGCGUGUUAUCACACCUUUUUGGUUGUGGAAUGAUAGUGCAACAACAAGGAACUUUAAUGACCAGUUCAAGAAUACACUUGUAAGUAGUGCCACCGAACACAACAUACCAAAUUAUGAUUUUGAGAAGCAUCCAAGCACUUCCACACAAGCAAAUGCCAAUUGUGAAAGAGAUCAUGCCAUGGCAGCUAUAAAUAGGCCCGUAGCAUGACGAUCAUCCUUCCUCAUCCAUCAUUCUCAUAAGUAGAGCGCAUCAUUUAAGCCAAGCAAGCAGUGCUCAAUACAAAUCCACCAUGAAGACCUUUCUCAUCCUUGCCCUCCUUGCUAUUGUAGCAACCACCGCCACAAUUGCAGUUAGAGUUCCAGUGCCACAAUUGCAGCCACAAAAUCCAUCUCAGCAACAACCACAAGAGCAAGUUCCAUUGGUACAACAACAACAAUUUCCAGGGCAGCAACAACCAUUUCCACCACAACAGCCAUAUCCGCAGCCGCAACCAUUUCCAUCACAACAACCAUAUCUGCAGCUGCAACCAUUUCCGCAGCCGCAACUACCAUAUCCGCAGCCGCAACUACCAUAUCCGCAGCCGCAACCAUUUCGACCACAACAACCAUAUCCACAACCGCAACCACAGUAUUCGCAACCACAACAACCAAUUUCGCAGCAGCAGCAGCAGCAGCAACAACAACAACAACAAAAACAACAACAACAACAACAACAACAGAUCCUUCAACAAAUUUUGCAACAACAACUGAUUCCAUGCAGGGAUGUUGUAUUGCAACAACACAGCAUAGCGUAUGGAAGCUCACAAGUUUUGCAACAAAGUACUUACCAGCUGGUGCAACAAUUGUGUUGUCAGCAGCUGUGGCAGAUCCCCGAGCAGUCGCGGUGCCAAGCCAUCCACAAUGUUGUUCAUGCUAUUAUUCUGCAUCAACAGCAACAACAACAACAACAACAACAACAACCGUUGAGCCAGGUCUCCUUCCAACAGCCUCAACAACAAUAACCAUCAGGCCAGGGCUCCUUCCAGCCAUCUCAGCAAAACCCACAGGCCCAGGGCUCUGUCCAGCCUCAACAACUGCCCCAGUUUGAGGAAAUAAGGAACCUAGCGCUAGAGACGCUACCUGCAAUGUGCAAUGUCUAUAUCCCUCCAUAUUGCACCAUUGCUCCAGUUGGCAUCUUCGGUACUAACUGAGAAGAGAAGAACUCUAGUAGUAGAUAUAUGAUACACCGUUUUCUUAGUCCAUGGUUUGGUCGUUGUAGCGGUGAAAAAAUAAAGUGACAUGCACUAUCAUGUAAGAACCCGAACUAUACUAGUUCAAACAUGGGAAUAAAAGACAAACACAUGUCUUGUCUACAUAUGAUUGUUUGUUUGAGUUCCACUCAUGUGCCCACUCACAAGUUCACCCCUAAUUAUAUAUAUUAUGCAUUAAGUAGAUAUUUAUGUUGCAUUAAUCUAAAGAUAACAAAAUGAGUCUGAAAUUUGAAUUAAAUUGAAG
rnacentral:lncRNA from 1 species